rnacentral:tRNA from 1 species
GCUGACGUAGCUCAGUAGGCAGAGCACAUCCUUGGUAAGGAUGAGGUCACCGGUUCGAUCCCGGUCGUCAGCUCCA